ensembl:misc_RNA 7SK 7SK RNA
AGAUGUGUGGGCCAUCUGGCUGUGACAUCUGUCACUCCAUUGAUCCCCAGGGUUGAUUGGAUUGAUCUGGCUGGCUAGGCAUGAUUCCCCUUCCUCCCUCACUGCUCCAAGUCUGUCCCUGACAAAGCUGAGCAAAGACGAGGAUGACCUUCCCUGGUAGAGGAGGACCAUUCGUCUGUCAAGGAUAAACAGGUAGCUAUGCGCCCCUACUAGAACCGUCAAACAAGCUCUCAAGAUCCAUUUGUAGGAGAUCCUGAGUGGUCAGGUUUCCAAGACUCUAGACACAUACAAAUGAGGCGCUGCAUGGGGCAGUUUGCCUUUUUUU